rnacentral:rRNA from 1 species
UGGGGGAUAUUGCACAAUGGGGGAAACCCUGAUGCAGCGACGCCGCGUGAGGGAAGACGGUCCUCUGGAUUGUAAACCUCUGUCUUCGGGGACGAAACGAGACGGUACCCGAGGAGGAAGCCACGGCUAACUACGUGCCAGCAGCCGCGGUAAUACGUAGGUGGCAAGCGUUGUCCGGAAUUACUGGGUGUAAAGGGAGCGUAGGCGGGCAGGCAAGUCAGGCGUGAAAGAUAUCGGCUCAACCGGUAGCUGCGCUUGAAACUGCAGGUCUUGAGUGAAGUAGAGGUUGGCGGAAUUCCUAGUGUAGCGGUGAAAUGCGUAGAUAUUAGGAGGAACACCAGUGGCGAAGGCGGCCAACUGGGCUUUUACUGACGCUGAGGCUCGAAAGUGUGGGGAGCAAACAGGA